rnacentral:rRNA from 1 species
GACGAACGCUGGCGGCGUGCUUAACACAUGCAAGUCGAACGGAAAGGCCCUGCUUUUGUGGGGUGCUCGAGUGGCGAACGGGUGAGUAACACGUGAGUAACCUGCCCUUGACUUUGGGAUAACUUCAGGAAACUGGGGCUAAUACCGGAUAGGAGCUCCUGCUGCAUGGUGGGGGUUGGAAAGUUUCGGCGGUUGGGGAUGGACUCGCGGCUUAUCAGCUUGUUGGUGGGGUAGUGGCUUACCAAGGCUUUGACGGGUAGCCGGCCUGAGAGGGUGACCGGCCACAUUGGGACUGAGAUACGGCCCAGACUCCUACGGGAGGCAGCAGUGGGGAAAAUUGCACAAUGGGCGGAAGCCUGAUGCAGCAACGCCGCGUGCGGGAUGACGGCCUUCGGGUUGUAAACCGCUUUCGCCUGUGACGAAGCGUGAGUGACGGUAAUGGGUAAAGAAGCAUCGGCUAACUACGUG